GAUGAACGCUGGCGGCGUGCUUAACACAUGCAAGUCGAACGGAGAGGCCGUGCGGUUGUGGUGUGAUCGAGUGCCGUACGUGUGAGUAGCACGUGGGUGACCUGCGCGUGACUUUGGUGUAACUUCAGGAAACUUAGGCGAAGACAAGGGAUGUGCUGCUCGUGCAGGUUGGCGAUUGGAAAGGUUCGGCGGUUGGGGAUGGACUUGCGGCUUAUCAGCUUGUUGGUUGGGUAGUGGCUGACCAAGGCUUUGAAGGGUAGCCGGCCUGAGAGGGUGACCGGCCACAUUGGGACUGAGAUACGGCCCAGACUCCUACGGGAGGCAGCAGUGGGGAAUAUUGCACAAUGGGCGGAAGCCUGAUGCAGCAACGCCGCGUGCGGGAUGACGGCAUUCGGGUUGUAAACCGCUUUCGCAUGUGACGAAGCGUGAGUGACGGUAAUGGGUAAAGAAGCACCGGCUAACUACGUG
rnacentral:rRNA from 1 species